AAUCAACGCUGGCGGCGUGCCUCAGACAUGCAAGUCGAACGCGAAAGUCCCCUUCGGGGGGCGAGUAGAGUGGCGCACGGGUGAGUAACACGUAGGUAAUCUACCCCCGAGUGGGGAAUGACUCAGGGAAACUUGAGCUAAUACCGCAUAAUGCAGCGGCACCACAUGGUGACAGUUGUUAAAGCAUUUAUGCGCUUGGGGAGGAGCCUGCGGCAGANAGCUAGUUGGUAAGGUAAUGGCUUACCAAGGCUACGAUCUGUAACCGGCCUGAGAGGGCGGACGGUCACACUGACACUGAAUAACGGGUCAGACUCCUACGGGAGGCAGCAGUCGGGAAUUUUGGGCAAUGGGCGAAAGCCUGACCCAGCAACGCCGCGUGAAGGAUGAAAUC
rnacentral:rRNA from 1 species